rnacentral:tRNA from 1 species
GAACGUAUGACUUAGUGGUCAUAGCGCUUGGAGGGUUUCUAUGAGGCACGGGUUCAAGCCUCACUACGUUCA